UUGUCCCAAAUCUUAAGCCAGCAAGAUAAACAAGUUGAUGCCGUGCUAUUAUUUUACAUGCCCCUUCAUUUCCACUUUCUUGAAACAAUUACUUUUAAGGCAAAAAUGGGCACCAAAAACUAACACUCUUGCACCGAAAUAAUUUGAUCUGGUUCAGUUUACACGGCAAUACAUUUGAUACUUUAAAGUCUUAUUCACGUUUUAAAGCUAGCGAUCUGAGAAAAUUGGCAAAUAACUUUGUUGAUGUUCUGACCGCAUAAUUAUGCGUCAAUAUAUAACAAACAUAGCUUAACAUGUCAAAUUUUAAUAUAUAAAGUUAUCAAUGCAAUUUUACAAGUUAUCUUAAAUUUGAAACAUUAAAAACACAACAUAAAAUAUAGUGUAUCAGCGACUAUGAUUAUUUCUUUGAUAGCAAUAAAUAAUAUUUAUCAGUUCUAGCAUUAUAUCAUUAUGUUGCCAUUAUUAUCAACAACUUUGAAAAUAUAUACUUAAGGACAAUGAAAACGCACGCCCGCACUAUAUGCAUUUUAUUACAUAAAAACAAAACACUUACGAUUCCAUUAGAUAUAUAUCAUAUCUUUAAUACAAAACGCAAACUUAAUAACUGAAAAUAAUUCAAAAUGUUUGAAAUCAAAUGUACAGCAGUAAAUCGAAGAAGCUAAUGUGAAAAUCACAAAAUCACACUUUUUAAUCACAGUACUGCAAACUUAACAAAGGCAAAAACCAAAAUGAAAAUCGAAAACAAAGUCACUCCUAAAUGUCUAUUAGUAAUGUCUCCGUCGGGAUCUUUAGAAACGACAAUGUCCUCCAUCAGCGUCUCUUACAGAUGUAAAUCGUCGCCUUAUAGACCUUACGGUGCGGAUAGUCGCCUAUGGAAUCUGACGCCAUUCGGCCAGUAGUGUAGAGCGAAAACGCUGGUGAAGCCGAGUAAUUGUAGACCGAUGGACACCAAAACGUUUGGCGCUUUUUUUUGUACGAUAGACCAGACUGAAUCUGUCCUAAAUCAACACAGCGGUUAUUUCCUUGUAAAAACUUUGCAUACAAUUUGCUAGCAAGUCUUCAGUAGUGUUUGAAAUUUAGCACCUUUUAUAGAGGAAAAGUGUGUAUAUGCAAUAUCCAAUUGAGCUUUUACGAUUUCUAAAACUGACCAUUGGAAUAUUUUAAUAUUCAUCUUCAUAAAGAUUUAAUUACUCAUUUGUGUCUAACAUUUCUAGAAAGGUGUGAAAAACAAGUUUAUAAUUAACAGUUUAAAAAAAUUCAUUUUAUAAAGUAACCAUGAAUUGGUUCAAUCUGUUUUUCUUUUGAAAUCUUAUCACAAUUAGCCAAAAGUGUUACUUUUGAUUUUUCAGGUACUGUCUUUAUAAUGCAAUAACUUCAUUAAAAUGCAACCAUUCUUCAUAACUUUGGUAUCUAAAUGACCGGAAUGCAUUCGGUUUUAUGAAACAGAUAAAAAAUAUUUAAAAGAGAUAUAAUUUACUUGUUAAAAUGCAAUUAUCCCGACCGUGCGUUUUCAUUGUCCUUAAGUUUAGUUUGGCAAUAAAAUUUACAAUUCUGAAAUAAUGUAUUUCUGAAAAUAUCAGUAACAAAUUUAACAAUAUGUCAGUCGUGAAAUAUUGUAUAAAAUAGAGAAAAACGGAAUUCCUAAAGAUCGCACAAAACGCCAAAAUUUAAAAGGUUGCAGGCUCUGCAGUUAUAACUCGUCCUAACAAUAUACAGGUCUGCAGAUAUAUAACUGCCUAACAAUAAACAGGACUGCAGUUAUAUAACUGCCUAACAAUAAACAGGUCUGCAGUUAUAUAACUGCCUAACAAUAUACAAGUCUGCAGUUAUAUAUCUGCCUAACAAAGUACAGGUCUGCAGUUAUAAAACUGCCUAACAAUAUACAGGUCUGCAGUUAUAUAACUGCCUAACAAUAAACAGGUCUGCAGUUAUAUAUCUGCCUAACAAUAUACAGGUCUGCAGUUAUAUAUCUGCCUAACAAAGUACAGGUCUGCAGUUAUAUAUCUGCCUAACAAUAUACAGGUCUGCAGUUAUAUAACUGCCUAACAAUAUACAGGUCUGCAGUUAUAUAACUGCCUAACAAAGUACAGGUCUGCAGUUAUAUAACUGCCUAACAAUAUACAGGUCUGCAGUUAUAUAACUGCCUAACAAUAUGCAGGUCUGCAGUUAUAUAACUGCCUAACAAAGUACAGGUCUGCAGUUAUAUAACUGCCUAACAAUAUACAGGUCUGCAGUUAUAUAACUGCCUAACAAUAUACAGGUCUGCAGUUAUAUAACUGCCUAACAAUAUACAGGUCUGCAGUUAUAUAUCUGCCUAACAAUAUACAGGUCUUCAGUUAUAACUCUUUAACCUUACGAUAUAUCCGCCUAGCAAUAUGCUGGCAAUAUUAUACAUCAAAGACAUAAGUCUCGCCUAACAUCUUAUUCCACAACAACAGCUUGGCAAUAUUUCAGCUUGGCAUUGAUAUAUAUUAGCUUACCAAUAUAAUAAUUGUAUUUGGCAAUAUGAAACAGCCUCGUGUAUCAGCCCUAGGCGUCAUUUACACAUAAACAUUUCCUCAUACAUCAUAUAAAAUCCAUUCAUCUAGGGGACUUGCAAGUAUGGUUAAAUACAAAAACUUAAAUAUGACCGUAUUAUCAACCUUACAUGACAUAACAAAAUGAUGCACAAUUUUUUAAAAAGUUCUUCGCCGAAAGUUACACAAAAUAAGAAAAUAUAUCAUUGCAUGUUAGUUUUGAAAGCACGAUUUUAAUGUAGUUUCUAGAGUUAACCAUUUCAAAGGCACACAA